rnacentral:rRNA from 1 species
ACGCGUGAAGUAGNCCGCCUGGGAGUACGUCGCAAGAUUAAAACUCAAAGGAAUGACGGGACCCGCACAAGCGGUGAUGAUGUGGAUUAAUUCGAUGCAACGCGAAAAACCUUACCUACCCUUGACAUGUACGGAACCCUACUGAGAGAUGGGGGUGCUCGAAAGAGAGCCGUAACACAGGUGCUGCAUGGCUGUCGUCAGCUCGUGUCGUGAGAUGUUGGGUUAAGUCCCGCAACGAGCGCAACCCUUGUCAUUAGUUGCUACGAAAGGGCACUCUAAUGAGACUGCCGGUGACAAACCGGAGGAAGGUGGGGAUGACGUCAAGUCCUCAUGGCCCUUAUGGGUAGGGCUUCACACGUCAUACAAUGGUACAUACAGAGGGCCGCCAACCCGCGAGGGGGAGCUAAUCCCAGAAAGUGUAUCGUAGUCCGGAUUGUAGUCUGCAACUCGACUGCGUGAAGUCGGAAUCGCUAGUAAUCGUGGAUCAGAAUGUCACGGUGAAUACGUUCCCGGGUCUUGUACACACCGCCCGUCACACCAUGGGAGCGGGUUUUACCAGAAGUAGGUAGCUUAACCGCAAGGAGGGCGCUUACCACGGUAGGAUUCGUGACUGGGGUGAAGUCGUAACAAGGUAACCGUA